rnacentral:rRNA from 1 species
AGACAGCCAGGAUGUUGGCUUAGAAGCAGCCAUCAUUUAAAGAAAGCGUAAUAGCUCACUGGUCGAGUCGGCCUGCGCGGAAGAUGUAACGGGGCUAAACCAUGCACCGAAGCUGCGGCAGCGACGCUUAUGCGUUGUUGGGUAGGGGAGCGUUCUGUAAGCCUGUGAAGGUGUGCUGUGAGGCAUGCUGGAGGUAUCAGAAGUGCGAAUGCUGACAUAAGUAACGAUAAAGCGGGUGAAAAGCCCGCUCGCCGGAAGACCAAGGGUUCCUGUCCAACGUUAAUCGGGGCAGGGUGAGUCGACCCCUAAGGCGAGGCCGAAAGGCGUAGUCGAUGGGAAACAGGUUAAUAUUCCUGUACUUGGUGUUACUGCGAAGGGGGGACGGAGAAGGCUAUGUUGGCCGGGCGACGGUUGUCCCGGUUUAAGCGUGUAGGCUGGUUUUCCAGGCAAAUCCGGAAAAUCAAGGCUGAGGCGUGAUGACGAGGCACUACGGUGCUGAAGCAACAAAUGCCCUGCUUCCAGGAAAAGCCUCUAAGCAUCAGGUAACAUCAAAUCGUACCCCAAACCGACACAGGUGGUCAGGUAGAGAAUACCAAGGCGCUUGAGAGAACUCGGGUGAAGGAACUAGGCAAAAUGGUGCCGUAACUUCGGGAGAAGGCACGCUGAUACGUAGGUGAAGCGACUUGCUCGUGGAGCUGAAAUCAGUCGAAGAUACCAGCUGGCUGCAACUGUUUAUUAAAAACACAGCACUGUGCAAACACGAAAGUGGACGUAUACGGUGUGACGCCUGCCCGGUGCCGGAAGGUUAAUUGAUGGGGUCAGCGCAAGCGAAGCUCUUGAUCGAAGCCCCGGUAAACGGCGGCCGUAACUAUAACGGUCCUAAGGUAGCGAAAUUCCUUGUCGGGUAAGUUCCGACCUGCACGAAUGGCGUAAUGAUGGCCAGGCUGUCUCCACCCGAGACUCAGUGAAAUUGAACUCGCUGUGAAGAUGCAGUGUACCCGCGGCAAGACGGAAAGACCCCGUGAACCUUUACUAUAGCUUGACACUGAACAUUGAGCCUUGAUGUGUAGGAUAGGUGGGAGGCUUUGAAGUGUGGACGCCAGUCUGCAUGGAGCCGACCUUGAAAUACCACCCUUUAAUGUUUGAUGUUCUAACGUGGACCCGUAAUCCGGGUUGCGGACAGUGUCUGGUGGGUAGUUUGACUGGGGCGGUCUCCUCCUAAAGAGUAACGGAGGAGCACGAAGGUUGGCUAAUCCUGGUCGGACAUCAGGAGGUUAGUGCAAUGGCAUAAGCCAGCUUGACUGCGAGCGUGACGGCGCGAGCAGGUGCGAAAGCAGGUCAUAGUGAUCCGGUGGUUCUGAAUGGAAGGGCCAUCGCUCAACGGAUAAAAGGUACUCCGGGGAUAACAGGCUGAUACCGCCCAAGAGUUCAUAUCGACGGCGGUGUUUGGCACCUCGAUGUCGGCUCAUCACAUCCUGGGGCUGAAGUAGGUCCCAAGGGUAUGGCUGUUCGCCAUUUAAAGUGGUACGCGAGCUGGGUUUAGAACGUCGUGAGACAGUUCGGUCCCUAUC